rnacentral:rRNA from 1 species
UGGGGAAUUUUGGACAAUGGGCGCAAGCCUGAUCCAGCCAUGCCGCGUGAGUGAAGAAGGCCUUCGGGUUGUAAAGCUCUUUCGGCGGGGACGAAACGGUUCGUGACAACACCACGGACUAAUGACGGUACCCGCAUAAGAAGCACCGGCUAACUACGUGCCAGCAGCCGCGGUAAUACGUAGGGUGCAGGCGUUAAUCGGAAUUACUGGGCGUAAAGCGUGCGCAGGCGGUUUGUUAAGACAGGUGUGAAAUCCCCGGGCUUAACCUGGGAAUUGCGCUUGUAACUGGCAGGCUAGAGUGUGGCAGAGGGGGGUGGAAUUCCACGUGUAGCAGUGAAAUGCGUAGAUAUGUGGAGGAACACCGAUGGCGAAGGCAGCCCCCUGGGCUAACACUGACGCUCAUGCACGAAAGCGUGGGGAGCAAACAGGAUUAGAUACCCGGGUAGUCCCUGAGCGGGCUGGCAAGGCGCAU